rnacentral:snoRNA from 1 species
CUGCCUGAAAUGAUGAGUUCACUUCAUGUCUCUUCUCUGAAAUCUUCCCUGGAGACACAAUUAACCUCGCUGAUCUGAUCAGGCUG